UAUCCUCAACAGAGAAGCAUGCCACGUCGUUUAAUUAAAUCGACCAGUAAAAAUGUUUCUAUGUGCCAGGUCAGCUCUUCCAAAACUGCAAUUUGCAACUCGAAAAUAACCUAAAGUGGAAUUCUACUGUUGGGCUCACUUGCUAAGCCCACUAAACAGAAACCCUUAACAUCUCAUCCAAUAGCCGUCCAACAAUCUCUCCAUCCUCUUCGUCUUCUCCGUUUUCUCUACUUGCGAUCUCCCUUACUGAUUUCUCUGCUAUCAAUCAAUCGUUCUCUUUAAUACACUCUUCAUUCUUCAUGUCUUUCGUUUCACCUCCCUCUCUAUCUCCUUAUUUUAUAAACUACUUCGCCUUCCAGUCAAAACCGAAGAGCUCCUCUUUUUUUUUUUGUGAUCAACUUUCCAGGCUACGACCGAAGAGCUCCUCUCAAUAAGCCGAAUCCAUGGCGAUGAACCCAGCGAAGAAACAUGUCUCCAUCUCACCAGGGCUAUACGGUUCCGAGCUACACCUCCGACUGUUACAUUUCUUGAAGUGAGGAACAAAAUACGAGAACUAAAGGUUGCAAACAGAAAGGAAAUUCGAAGCAAACAUCAAAUAAUUAGCAAGAAGAGAGGAACAAAUGUAUCGACAGCACUGGCGGUGAGUAUUCAUGAAGGGAUUAGUCGUACCAGAGAGACGUGGAACGAAAUACUAAAAAAGGUCCAAGUCCAACCAAUAAUCAAGGUAAAGCUGUGUGGAAUCAAACGAAAGGGUCAAUAAACUGCUAUAUUUAUAUUAACUGUAGGGAUUGAUAUGUUUGAAAGCUGAGCUGAUUCAUGUCUCUGUAGAGAUUGAUAUGUUUGAAAGAUGUAUCUUCGGGGAUUGCUGAUUGCACAUCUAAGGUUUCAUGAGUGAAGAUUCCAGAGUUGUUUAGAUGCGUAAACCACACCAUGUUUAUAUAUUUUUUUACAGAUUAUCUUGGUAACUCAUCCAAAGACUGGAGAUUCCCUAAAGUACAUCUACGGUUUAUACGUUGAAUAUGUGGUGAAAAAUCCUAUCUACAAUCUAGGAUCUCCAAUCAAAGUUGUUCAACACUGCACUUGACCAAUAUGUGACGAGUAUCUCAUAGUGUUGUGCAUUACAAGAUUUGGCAAUUGGAACUUCUCUGACUGCUUCACAGAACUUUUGUCUUGAACAAAUUCUAUGGAGAAGAGAGAAUUGUAGUAGAAAGAUCAAUCUCGUGUCAAGCCUGUUUUUCUCUGCGAAUGUAUUUUUCGCUUAAUAUGAUAAGUACUUAUAGAAGCGUAAUUAAGAUGCUUUUGUAAAAAAAAAGCUGUCAUCUAAGUUAGUUGGUUUAAUUCUGAGAGGCUUAGUGCUUAUUUUUUACAAGAGUUGGGAGAAAGCCAUGGAUUUCCGUAGUCUAGAUCAAUGUUUGAUAUCCAUUGACCGAGUAAGUUGUAGGCCAUGAUUUUGGAGAAGCAGCAGUUGGACGUGAUUCUCCGGAGGAUUUUGAUGAAAGCAUUUAUGUGAUACAUCUACACUUUAUUGUUGAAAAAAAAAAUCUAUACUUGGUUAUGAUUCGGAAUUUAACAAAGAAAACAUGAAAAAAAUAGUUUGAUAUGAUAAUUCUUUGGAAAAACAACAAAAAUUUCAACUACCAAACAAUAUUAUAUCGUAAAGAAUUUAGGAAUUUCAAAGAAACAUAUUUAGGCAAAUAAAAAAAGCAGAAUAAAAAUAAAGUAACAA